GAUGAACGCUGGCGGCGUGCCUAACACAUGCAAGUCGAACGAGGUAUUUUGAUUGAAGUUUUCGGAUGGAUUUCAAGAUACCGAGUGGCGGACGGGUGAGUAACGCGUGGGUAACCUGCCUCAUACAGGGGGAUAACGGUUAGAAAUGACUGCUAAUACCGCAUAAGCGCACAGUACCGCAUGGUACGGUGUGAAAAACUCCGGUGGUAUGAGAUGGACCCGCGUCUGAUUAGCUAGUUGGUGGGGUAACGGCCCACCAAGGCGACGAUCAGUAGCCGAACUGAGAGGGUGAUCGGCCACAUUGGGACUGAGACACGGCCCAGACUCCUACGGGAGGCAGCAGUGGGGGAUAUUGCACAAUGGAGGAAACUCUGAUGCAGCGACGCCACGUGAGUGAAGAAGUAUUUCGGUAUGUAAAGCUCUAUCAGCAGGGAAGAAAAUGACGGUACCUGACUAAGAAGCCCCGGCUAACUACGUGCCAGCCGCCGCAGUAA
rnacentral:rRNA from 1 species